rnacentral:rRNA from 1 species
GAUGAACGCUGGCGGCGUGCCUAAUACAUGCAAGUCGAGCGAAUGGAUUAAGAGCUUGCUCUUAUGAAGUUAGCGGCGGACGGGUGAGUAACACGUGGGUAACCUGCCCAUAAGACUAGGAUAACUCCGGGAAACCGGGGCUAAUACCGGAUAACAUUUUGAACCGCAUGGGUCGAAAUUGAAAGGCUGCUUCGGCUGUCACUUAUGGAUGGACCCGCGUCGCAUUAGCUGGUUGGUGAGGUAACGGCUCAUCAAGGCAACGAUGCGUAGCCGACCUGAGAGGGUGAUCGGCCACACUGGGACUGAGACACGGCCCAGACUCCUACGGGAGGCAGCAGUAGGGAAUCUUCCGCAAUGGACGAAAGUCUGACGGAGCAACGCCGCGUGAGUGAUGAAGGCUUUCGGGUCGUAAAACUCUGUUGUUAGGGAAGAACAAGUGCUAGUUGAAUAAGCUGGCACCUUGACGGUACCUAACCAGAAAGCCACGGCUAACUACGUGCCAGCCGCCGCCGUAA